rnacentral:lncRNA from 1 species
UGUUGGAUGAUUUUGGCACUCAUUGGAACUACUAUGUUGCCAUGGAAACUACACCAAAAAUUUCAAAAAUAUCAAAAUGCUCCAAACUUCAAUGAAACUUCACAGUAACGAUGAGCAACAUUGGAAGAUGUGGAAUUUGGCGUUGGAAUUUCCAAAAUAUCUGUUGUUACCAUGGAAACAAUGCAAAAAGGUCAAAACUUUGAAUUUUCACAGAACAUUCCAGAACAUCAAUGUUAAAUUUAUUCUAGAGACAUGAAACUUUAUGAAAAUGUUCUCCAGUAUGCCAAGAUGUCAAGACAAUAUUUUGGAUAGUUCAAAAUGGCCGCCGUUGUCAUGGAAACUAGGGCCAAGUUUUGCAUUGACCCUAUGGAAAAAUGCAUAAAAUCUGCAUUUUCUCAGAGAGUAGUGCACCAAAGUUAAUGAAACUGUAUUGAUAUAUAACAUGACAUGUGGCAAUGAGAUGUCUGCUUUUAGAAUUUUGGAAUUAUCUACUGUAACCAUGGUUGCAGCACAAAUGUUCAAAAUUUCCAAAAAAAAUUAUGUGCUGCAAACUGGAUGAAACUUUACAGGAAUAGUGACUGUCAUGUGCGGAGUUGCAUUUUGAAGUUGGAAUUUCCAAAAUGGCCGCCGUAACCAUGGAAACAGCAAAAUUGUCCAAAAUUUCAAAAUGCUCCAAACUUAAUGAAAUUUUGCAAAAAUGAUAACCUGCAGGUGUAGACGCACUCUUUGACUUUGGAAUUUCCAAAAUGGCUGUCGCUCGCCUGGCAAUGGGGGUACGAGGGUGCCAUCCGUUAUUGCUAGCAAUUACAAAUCUAGUUAUUAUUCUUAUUCUUCCAAUGAUUUUUGUCCGGCAGAUUUUUUGAAGGCAAUGGAACCAAUCUUAGUGAUAGUCAACUAUAAUGAGGAACACAAAAUUUCGGGUUGCAGUAGGUCAUAGGACCAUUAAAAAUGGCUGCCGUUACCAUGGAAACGGAAAAAUUGUGAAAAAUUCCACUUUUUGGUUUUGGGAAUUAUUUUGGAGAUGCUUUAACUUAGAAUCAUUAUAUUUUGAUACAAUGUAGGUGCCCACUAUAUACUUGUUUUGGAUGAUUUUUGGCAUUCAUUGGAACUACUAUGUUGCCAUGGAUACUACACCAAAAAUUUCCAAAAUAUCAAAAUGCUCCAAAUUUAAUGAAACUUCACAGUAACGAUGAGCAACAUUGGUAGAUGUGCAAUUUGGCGUUGGAAUUUCGAAAAUGUCUUGUGUUACCAUGGAAACAAA